rnacentral:rRNA from 1 species
UUGAACGCUGGCGGCAUGCCUUACACCUGCAAGUCGAACGGCAGCACGGACUUCGGUCUGGUGGCGAGUGGCGAACGGGUGAGUAAUGUAUCGGAACGUACCUUUCAGUGGGGGAUAACGUAGCGAAAGUUACGCUAAUACCGCAUAUUCUGUGAGCAGGAAAGCAGGGGAUCGAAAGACCUUGCGCUGAUUGAGCGGCCGAUAUCAGAUUAGCUAGUUGGUGGGGUAAAGGCCUACCAAGGCGACGAUCUGUAGCGGGUCUGAGAGGAUGAUCCGCCACACUGGAACUGAGACACGGUCCAGACUCCUACGGGAGGCAGCAGUGGGGAAUUUUGGACAAUGGGGGCAACCCUGAUCCAGCCAUGCCGCGUGAGUGAAGAAGGCCUUCGGGUUGUAAAGCUCUUUCGGCCGGGAAGAAAUCGCAUAGGCUAAUACCCUGUGUGGAUGACGGUACCGGAAUAAGAAGCACCGGCUAACUACGUG